rnacentral:rRNA from 1 species
GGCUUGGGAAACCCCGGAACGGUUCAGGAGUUGGUGUGCCUUGUGCGCACCUAUCGUCCUUCCUUGGUCUUUAUCUCUGAAACUAGGAAAAGUGAGAUGUACGUCAAUAAAUUGCGUAGGAGACUAGGUCUCAAGCACUGUAUCUCCCACGUUGGGGAGGGGAAAGGUGCAGGCAUCACUCUCUUCUAUGAUGAGCAAGUUGAAAUAAAG